rnacentral:lncRNA from 1 species
AAGCCUCAGUUUUCUGUAAUUUUUUUGCCCACCGAAGGCCCUAGGGGUGUUUUAUCACAGGAACCAAUGCAAGUUUGGCCGAAUUCGGCCGAAAACGGCCAACCCGAGGCAGACCGCCGUCGCAGGCGGCGGCGAAGUCGCUGGAGUACGGCGGAGCCGCCGUGCCAGAAUUCUGAAAUUGGCCAAAAGGGCCCUGGGUCUGAUUUGGGGUUUUUUGGGGACAUAUGCAGGCACCGAAAGU